UACGGAGGGUGCGAGCGUUGUCCGGAAUCACUGGGCGUAAAGGGCGCGUAGGCGGCGCGGGAAGUCCGUGGUGAAAGCCCGAGGCUCAACUUCGGGUCGGCCAUGGAUACUCCUGGGCUUGAGCACUGUAGAGGCAGGUGGAAUUCCGGGUGUAGCGGUGGAAUGCGUAGAGAUCCGGAAGAACACCGGUGGCGAAGGCGGUCUGCUGGGCAGUUGCUGACACUGAGGCGCGACAGCGUGGGGAGCAAACAGG
rnacentral:rRNA from 1 species